UACAGAGGCCUCGAGCGUUAGGCGGAAUCACUGGGCUUAAAGCGUGUGUAGGCGGAUCGUUAAGUGCCUUGUGAAAUCCCACGGCUUAACUGUGGAGCGGCUGGGCAUACUGGCGGUCUUGAGCCAUGUAGGGGCGACUGGAACAAACGGUGGAGCGGUGAAAUGCGUAGAUAUCGUUUGGAACGCCAAUGGUGAAAACAGGUCGCUGGGGAUGAGCUGACGCUGAGACACGAAAGCCAGGGGAGCAAACGGG
rnacentral:rRNA from 1 species